rnacentral:rRNA from 1 species
CCUACGGGGGGCUGCAGUAGGGAAUAUUGGACAAUGGGCGCAAGCCUGAUCCAGCCAUGCCGCGUGAGUGAUGAAGGCCUUAGGGUUGUAAAGCUCAUGCGCCAGGGACGAUAAUGACGGUACCUGGAUAAGAAGCCCCGGCUAACUUCGUGCCAGCAGCCGCGGUAAUACGAAGGGGGCUAGCGUUGUUCGGAAUCACUGGGCGUAAAGCGUAGGCAGGCGGAUCGUUAAGUCAGGGGUGAAAUCCCGAGGCUCAACCUCGGGACUGCCUUUGAUACUGGCGAUCUUCGAGUCCGGGAGAGGUGAGUGGAACUGCGAGUGUAGAGGUGAAAUUCGUAGAUAUUCGCAAGAACACCAGUGGCGAAGGCGGCUCACUGGCCCGGUACUGACGCUGAGAUACGAAAGCGUGGGGAGCAAACAGGAUUAGAUACCCCAGUAGUC